AACGAACGCUGGCGGCAGGCUUAACACAUGCAAGUCGAGCGAGACCUUCGGGUCUAGCGGCGGACGGGUGAGUAACGCGUGGGAACGUGCCCUUCUCUACGGAAUAGCCCCGGGAAACUGGGAGUAAUACCGUAUACGCCCUUUGGGGGAAAGAUUUAUCGGAGAAGGAUCGGCCCGCGUUGGAUUAGGUAGUUGGUGGGGUAAUGGCCCACCAAGCCGACGAUCCAUAGCUGGUUUGAGAGGAUGAUCAGCCACACUGGGACUGAGACACGGCCCAGACUCCUGCGGGAGGCAGCAGUGGGGAAUCUUAGACAAUGGGGGCAACCCUGAUCUAGCCAUGCCGCGUGAGUGAUGAAGGCCUUAGGGUUGUAAAGCUCUUUUCAGCUGGGAAGAUAGUGACGUACCAGCAG
rnacentral:rRNA from 1 species